rnacentral:rRNA from 1 species
UACGUAGGGGGUUAGCGUUGUCCGGAUUUACUGGGUGUAAAGGGCGCGUAGGCGGGUCUGUAAGUCAGAGGUGAAAUCCCACAGCUUAACUGUGGAGCUGCCUUUGAUACUGCGGAUCUUGAGUUCAGAAGAGAGAGAUGGAAUUCCAGGUGUAGUGGUGAAAUACGUAGAUAUCUGGAAGAACACCAGUGGCGAAGGCGAUCUCUUGGUCUGUAACUGACGCUGAGGCGCGAAAGCGUGGGUAGCAAACAGG